GAGCAUGAAACUGUCUAAUAUUUCUUUGUAUGCUGAAGCAUUAAGAGUUCCUUUCACUGGAACUAAGGGGCCAAUCAAAUAUAAUAAAUAUGGGUGGGUUAAAAACAUUUUAUUUAGCAUCUGGUUAUGUCACUGUGCAUCUACACAAAACACUAGUGAGGUAGUUACUGGGUUUAUCCAUGCCUAUUGGGCAAAUGCAAGCAGAUACCAGUUCAAGCACAAGAUUUUUGCAGUUCGUUUAAUCAAGUAUCGAUCCUUAAUGCCGGAGCUGUUUACGCCCAUAAGAAAGCCAUAAUAGAUGCAUUUCACCUACUGGACUGUUUUCAAAUGCUAUGUGUGUAUCAAAUAUCCAUAUCAGAUUCUAUACCAGCUCUGAAACAACAAAAACAGCACAAAAAAAUGAAUAAAAUCUAAAGAACCACCCACCUGAAACUGAAUCCCACUGAAUGGGGUAAAAUUCCCACCCCCUAGGGUCAGAUAUUUUCUAGUACCACCUUCAUGACAGGACAGAAACUUCCCAACUUUGUGAGAAUCAACAACUGCUGAAGGUAAGAUUAAACUCUGGAAUUUAAUGGAUUAACCUGUGUUUUAUUGGAUUUGCAUUGCCAGUGGAAAAAUAAUAACAAGAAGCAACAAUAAUGAGGGAAAGUAGUGCUACGUACUUUUUAUCAAUAGAAGAAGCAAGAGUAAUAAGCAGCAAUAGUAAUGCCAAAGCCUUUAAAGCCUUUUUUUUGUAAAAGACCAUUACACUCCAAAAAUAUUGACUAUAUUUAGUACAAGUUUUGUGAUUUUUAAAAAAAAUAUUUUUCAUAUAGGGAUAAAAUAAAAUAAGGAUAAAAUAGUUUAAUGAUUUAAUUUAUUUUUAUUUCUAGUUAUUUAUUUUUUCUCUGUUUAAAUAAAUUGAAUUGAAUUGAAAAUUUUUUAUAUAUUUAAUCUAAUAACAAAUAGAAAUAUAUUUGUCACACUCCUAAAUAACAGCACAUGGUUUGAUUAUCCCACAUGCACUGUGGUUAUAACCUCUCCAUCCUCUUAUGUUUAACCCAUGUCUAUUUUCCCUAUUCUUUUCCUCAGAUGUAUCUCUUGUUGUUUCUGCUGUUAAAGAUGUACACACUGAGCCAAGUGCAUGCCUACCCUGACGGAUCUAUAGCACCAGCGUGUGACAGUAUGAUACCGACCCACCCGUCCUUUCUGCCUCAGAGCACCGUAGCGCCGUACAGAGUCACAGCGAACCGUACGACAUACACACCCGGAGACGUGAUCAGAGUGACUCUGGAGUCAGUGAACAGCACAGAAUUCGAGGGCUUCAUGCUGCAAGCUCGGACAUCAUCAGGCAAGAGGACAGUGGGAUAUUUCAUGCCGGGAAACGCCAGUCUGGUCCGACUGCACGACUGUUUCAGCACCGAAGUAGCGUACAGAAGUCAACCAUCAGCCACUCUGCAGCAAAUGAAUUAACCCGGAUUGAGGUCAUGUGGGUCGCACCACUAACAUCUGCUCUGGACAAUAUUAUGUUCUGUGCAACAUUUGUGAAGAAUUAUGCCGAGUUCUGGACCAUGGUGAACAGCCAGACUAUCCUGCUAUCCAACAGUCCUGCUCCAGCUGUGAACCUUCUGAUGAUGUCUUUCUGCAUCCUGAUCGCACUGACUGGACUCUCCAGAGCUUCAUCUUUACUCUGAUCUGUGGGGUAAAUGGACGCUAGCACAAAUAUUAGGAAUACUGAUUUUAAUCUGUUCUGUGGAAGUCAAAAUGAUGGAAAAAAGUAAAUAUUAUCCAGACAGUGUGGAUGGAGAUUAGAAAAGGUAAAUGAUUUCUUUGUAGUGCUUGACUCUUAUGAGAUUCUCUCAUGUACAUAAAGAAUCGUGUUUAUUUAUAUUUAUACAGAGAUGAUGUCCAGCCCAUUUGAACGCUCUUAGGCUUAUUUUCUGACAGGUUUUUAUGAGCAACAUUGUUUUUGUAAUAAACUGACAUGACAAUAUGGCACAUUUGGUUAUUUUGAAAUAAAAGUUAAUAAACUUGAUUAAAAAAAUCAAAAAGUAAUCACCAGAACGUGAUGAAAUCUCAGCUCUUCAUAGCGAAACAGGUUAUGUUUACCACCAUAAA